CGUGGCUGAAAGUACAUUCAGACACAAGAGAGGUCGAUGAGAGGGAAGUGAAAAGACAGAGUGAAUAAAGAACUUUGUAAUUUAUCAAGAUGAUCAAGAUCAACAGAAAAUGGGCUAAGACAUGGAGCAAGGGGCAGAAUGAUUCUUGAAGAUGCUGAGUAACUUCUGUUGGUGCCCUCCUCGACUCUGGCAGGUGUCCAAGCCCUGUUGUUCUCCCUGCACAGGGCGGCUGAGCAGUGCUCUGUAAAUUAUGCACCAGUCCCACAAUGUCUGGGGAGCCUGUGGACCCAUUUUGUCUACCUGGAGGUAAAUUAUUUAGCAAAGGCAAUUUAAAUGAUUCAGA
rnacentral:lncRNA from 1 species